rnacentral:rRNA from 1 species
UGAGGAAUAUUGGUCAAUGGGCGAGAGCCUGAACCAGCCAAGUAGCGUGAAGGAUGACUGCCCUAUGGGUUGUAAACUUCUUUUAUAAAGGAAUAAAGUCGGGUAUGGAUACCCGUUUGCAUGUACUUUAUGAAUAAGGAUCGGCUAACUCCGUGCCAGCAGCCGCGGUAAUACGGAGGAUCCGAGCGUUAUCCGGAUUUAUUGGGUUUAAAGGGAGCGUAGAUGGAUGUUUAAGUCAGUUGUGAAAGUUUGCGGCUCAACCGUAAAAUUGCAGUUGAUACUGGAUAUCUUGAGUGCAGUUGAGGCAGGCGGAAUUCGUGGUGUAGCGGUGAAAUGCUUAGAUAUCACGAAGAACUCCGAUUGCGAAGGCAGCCUGCUAAGCUGCAACUGACAUUGAGGCUCGAAAGUGUGGGUAUCAAACAGGAUUAGAUACCCUGGUAGUCCACACGGUAAACGAUGAGUACUCGCUGUUUGCGAUAUACUGCAAGCGGCCAAGCGAAAGCGUUAAGUAUUCCACCUGGGGAGUACGCCGGCAACGGUGAAACUCAAAGGAAUUGACGGGGGCCCGCACAAGCGGAGGAACAUGUGGUUUAAUUCGAUGAUACGCGAGGAACCUUACCCGGGCUUAAAUUGCAGAUGAAUUACGGUGAAAGCCGUAAGCCGCAAGGCAUCUGUGAAGGUGCUGCAUGGUUGUCGUCAGCUCGUGCCGUGAGGUGUCGGCUUAAGUGCCAUAACGAGCGCAACCCUUGUUGUCAGUUACUAACAGGUUCCGCUGAGGACUCUGACAAGACUGCCAUCGUAAGAUGUGAGGAAGGUGGGGAUGACGUCAAAUCAGCACGGCCCUUACGUCCGGGGCUACACACGUGUUACAAUGGGGGGUACAGAGGGCCGCUACCACGCGAGUGGAUGCCAAUCCCAAAAACCUCUCUCAGUUCGGACUGGAGUCUGCAACCCGACUCCACGAAGCUGGAUUCGCUAGUAAUCGCGCAUCAGCCACGGCGCGGUGAAUACGUUCCC